GGAAAACAUGUUUGUACUGAAAAAGAUGGACUGAUAAGUAAAGGCAAAUUGAAAACAGAGAAGGAAAAAGUUAAAAAUUAUAUAUUUAGGAAAUGGAUUAAUCUUUUAUUAUCAGUGACAGAUUCUAACAGAGAUAAUUUUAAAAUCCACAUUGAUGGUUCAUCCUUAAUUUUUACUCAAAUAAGUGUCACGUUGCUAGUUUUGUGAUAUUGUGUUGGCAGAAUAAUCUUUUAACAAUCAGUACCAUUGGAAGUGAAUAUUCAAAUUUAAAUGAGGAUUCCUUUCCUGAUAACAAUAGGAAGCCUUUCCGGUAAGAGUGGAUUUGCAAAGCCAUAGCCAUUUGUGAGUCCCCACCUGCUUUGCAAGUCAUGGGAAUAGAACUUGCACCUGGAACUGGAGCUUAGGAAUAGGUUGUGUGUAGGAAUUGCCAUUUAAAAAGAAAUGGUUUUAGCACCUUGCUAAGGGGAAUAUAUGCUAGCAACAAUUUUUACUUCAACUCAUCAGCACCAAAAAGAUAAAAGGGUAUGGAUAAAAGGGAGACUUGGGGUGAAAUGUAAACCCCAGGCUACUGCCCAUUUAACGGGGCCAUCCCGUCUCUGAGAAACAGUUGAAUCUGGCCUUGGGCCAUAGUUCAUUCUUAUUAGAGCCAAUAAUUUCCAUCAUUAACACAGUGGCUUCUCCUGGCCUACAGUGAGAAGAUAGGCUCUGAAGAAACUUAAACAUGUAAAAAUCCCUGGCAGAUAUUGCCUUGGUCAUAGGUGGCUCAACAUGCCUCAACAAAAACGGUGAAAGGGAGAGAAGUAUCAUUUUAUUGGCAUAGCAACGCAAGUGGUCCAGUUUUCUUAAAUUUUUCCUGAAGUUCAGAGAUGGCAACCUCAAGGCUAAUUUUAGCUGAAGUCAACUUAUUUUCUCUUGGUCAGAUGAAAGUUCUGUGAAAUUCAAGAAGGCAGCGACUGCACCUUAAAAGGGUACCUCUUCUUCUACUUUCUCUGGGCAAGGAUUGGAGAAACCAGCCUUCAGUAAGCCCAGAUACUGUCACUCUACCUCCACAGAAGAUUUCUCAGUUGAAGUGAGAAGCUCAUGGAAACUGCUGUUACUGCUCAGCACAAAGAGCAGAAGUUCUAGUGCCUUUCUACGGAAGAAUCAGUUUGGAUGUCAAGAGAAAGCAGGUAUUGAAUUUCUGCAUUUUUUCUUUAUAAGGUCAGUAGAGAGAAACAGUCCUUUAGCUUAGAUGUCCAUGACCACUUGCAGGCACGUGUCUACCUUUUUCCAUGGAGCACGUAAGAAACUUGUGGUCACUGUAUGGACAAAGCUCCUGGAGCGCAGACUCCACUGAGUUGAAUGUGAGUGGCUGAUUUAGGUGUCAACCCAUGUUAAAAUGGUUGUAAGUAUUUUAAACUAAAAGUUGAAAAAAUAU
rnacentral:lncRNA from 1 species